rnacentral:rRNA from 1 species
UAAGGAAUAUUGGACAAUGCCCGCAAGGGUGAUCCAGCCAUGCCGCGUGCAGGAAGACGGCCCUAUGGGUUGUAAACUGCUUUUGUACCGGAGAAAACCUCCCCUCGUGAGGGGAGCUGAUAGUAUGGUAAGAAUAAGCAUCGGCUAACUUCGUGCCAGCAGCCGCGGUAAGACGAAGGAUGCAAGCGUUAUCCGGAUUCAUUGGGUUUAAAGGGAGCGUAGGUGGGUUUGUAAGUCAGUGGUGAAAGCC